CCCAGGCUUGUUAAAGGCCUGGGAGAAGAUCGACAGGUCUUCUGAGGAGACCUCCACCUCCCAGUCCUGCCACUCCUCCUCCUCAUCCUCCAACUCAAUUUCAUCCCCCCCUGUGCCCUCCCAAACCUUCAAAAGGUCUUCCAUCUUCAAUUCCAAUCUGGGCCGUCUUGGAAAGAAAAAACUCUCCAGCCUCCGACGAUGGUUCACAUCGAUGAGAAAGAAAACCAAGGCUGUUACUGGAAAAAAGACAAAACUAAAGACAGUUACUCCUCUCAACGGUGAAAGCCCAGAUCUUGCAGAGUCCUCCAGCAUCCCAGGAGAAGAGGAACAGAAACAGAAGAAGAAGAAGUCUAUUAAAGGCUUCUUCCGCAGGCUUCUUCCGCACCUCUCCAAGGUGUUCUGCUGUAGCUGCAUGACUCACCAAUAGAGGGAGCUGCCUGCUUACUGACCUGACUGCAGCGAGAACCUGUCACUUCCCAAU